AUUCUGCCAGGAAUCCAGCUGACCGAAUUACCCACACUUGCCCACCUUAGGCCUUCAUUCGCAGCAGGCAUGUGUGCCUGGGUUUGUUACCAGCAGCCAUUUUCUCACCCUUAAAUGAGGGAUGGGUCUCCCCUUUUCUUUUUCUCAUUUUCCUAGAGGUUACAAGAUUCCUGUUUUUCUCACCAGGAGGAGAGGUCAGCCUCAGUGAGCUCAUAGCAGUCAUACAUUGCCAGUGUUUUUCCUCAAGUGGAAGGAGAAAGGCCUUCAGAAAAAAAAUCGUAUGCAAACCUAGUGCUACCACCAGCAGUAGCUCUGAAUCGAGAUUUUUGGGAGAAUUAGGCUUACUAAAGAUAAACUACAAUAAGUCUCAAGGAAGCAAAUAAUUCUGAUUCUAAUGAGGAAUCCAAGAAUAAAGGCAGCUCUUAAGGUACGGAAGUGAACUGUCUGUGGGUGACUUGCCUGGAUGCCGGCUAUAGCUGCAGCCCCCAAAGUCGAAGCUACCAGAACAGGUUGGAUGAGGAUGGCCCAAAGAUUAUGGAGUUGCUGGCCCCAAAGCAAGUCAGACACUAUGGGAAGUUUGCAUGAAUCA
rnacentral:lncRNA from 10 species